rnacentral:rRNA from 1 species
AUUGAACGCUGGCGGCAUGCCUUACACAUGCAAGUCGAACGGCAGCACGGGAGCAAUCCUGGUGGCGAGUGGCGAACGGGUGAGUAAUAUAUCGGAACGUGCCCAGUCGUGGGGAUAACGUAGCGAAAGCUACGCUAAUACCGCAUACGAUCUAUGGAUGAAAGCGGGGGAUCGCAAGACCUCGCGCGAUUGGAGCGGCCGAUAUCAGAUUAGGUAGUUGGUGGGGUAAAGGCUCACCAAGCCAACGAUCUGUAGCUGGUCUGAGAGGACGACCAGCCACACUGGAACUGAGACACGGCCCAGACUCCUACGGGAGGCAGCAGUGGGGAAUUUUGGACAAUGGGCGCAAGCCUGAUCCAGCAAUGCCGCGUGCAGGAUGAAGGCC